rnacentral:rRNA from 1 species
UGGGGAAUAUUGGACAAUGGGCGCAAGCCUGUUCCAGCCAUGCCGCGUGAGUGAUGAAGGCCCUAGGGUUGUAAAGCUCUUUCACCGGUGAAGAUAAUGACGGUAACCGGAGAAGAAGCCCCGGCUAACUUCGUGCCAGCAGCCGCGGUAAUACGAAGGGGGCUAGCGUUGUUCGGAUUUACUGGACGUAAAGCGCACGUAGGCGGACUUUUAAGUCAGGGGUGAAAUCCCGGGGCUCAACCCCGGAACUGCCUUUGAUACUGGAAGUCUUGAGUAUGGUAGAGGUGAGUGGAAUUCCGAGUGUAGAGGUGAAAUUCGAAGAUAUUCGGAGGAACACCAGUGGCGAAGGAGGCUCACUGGACCAUUACUGACGCUGAGGUGCGAAAGCGUGGGGAGCAAACAGG